AACGAACGCUGGCGGCGCGCCUAAUACAUGCAAGUCGAGCGAGAAGACGUAGCAAUACGUUUGUAAAGCGGCGAACGGGUGAGGAAUACAUGGGUAACCUACCCUCGAGUGGGGAAUAACUAGCCGAAAGGUUAGCUAAUACCGCGUACGCUCCUUGGACUUCGGUUCAGGGAGGAAAGCGAUACCGUGGGUAUCGCGCUCUUGGAUGGGCUCAUGUCCUAUCAGCUUGUUGGUGAGGAACGGCUCACCAAGGCUUCGACGGGUAGCUGGUCUGAGAGGACGAUCAGCCACACUGGCACUGCGACACGGGCCAGACUCCUACGGGAGCAGCAGUAAGGAUAUUGCGCAAUGGGCGAAAGCCUGACGCAGCGACGCCGCGUGGGGGAUGAAGGUCUUCGGAUU
rnacentral:rRNA from 1 species